rnacentral:misc_RNA from 1 species
GACGAGAGGCCCGAGCGUUAAUCGGAAUUACUGGGCGUAAAGCGCACGCAGGCGGUCUGUCAAGUCGGAUGUGAAAUCCCCGGGCUCAACCUGGGAACUGCGUCCGAAACUGGCAGGCUAGAGUCUUGUAGAGGGGGGUAGAAUUCCAGGUGUAGCGGUGAAAUGCGUAGAGAUCUGGAGGAAUACCGGUGGCGAAGGCGGCCCCCUGGACAAAGACUGACGCUCAGGUGCGAAAGCGUGGGGAGCAAACAGG